UUGAAUCCUCAGGAUGUUGCUGGCCUUUCGGGGCAUGUGCACUCCUACCUUUCAAUACACCUGUGAACUUAUUGUAGGUGGCAUAUGUCACCUAUGUUUUUACAAACCCCUUAACAAGUUAUUGAAUGUCUAAUAAAUGGCUUUGGCCAAUAAACAUUAAUA
rnacentral:misc_RNA from 1 species